rnacentral:tRNA from 1 species
AUUUAUAUAGUUUAAAUAAAACAUUACAAUUUCAAUGUAAAAUUAAAAUUAUUUUAUAAAUA